CAUUAGCGUAUAUUAAAGUUGUUGCAGUUAAAAGCCCGUAGUCGAGUUUGUGUCCUCGAUAGCUGAUCCACCUUCGGGUGCGAUUCAGUAUGUCGUUGGCGUUUUCCUAACUCUGACCUUGCGUCAGAAUUAGGUCGGUUACUUUGAGAAAAUUAGAGUGUUUCAAGCAGGCAUCCUGCCUUGAAUACUCCAGCAUGGAAUAACAAGAUAGGACUUUGGCUCUUCUUGUUGGUUUAAGAGUUAGAGUAAUGGUUAAGAGAGGCAGUUGGAGGCAUUCGUAUUUGGCAGUCAGAGGUGAAAUUCUUAGAUUUGCCAAAGACGAACUACUGCGAAAGCAUUUGCCAAGCAUGCUUUCAUUGAUCAAGGACUAAAGUUAGGGGAUCGAAGACGAUCAGAUACC
rnacentral:rRNA from 1 species